rnacentral:rRNA from 1 species
AACGAACGCUGGCGGCAUGCCUAACACAUGCAAGUCGAACGAGACCUUCGGGUCUAGUGGCGCACGGGUGCGUAACGCGUGGGAACCUGCCCUUAGGUUCGGAAUAACUCCCCGAAAGGGGUGCUAAUACCGGAUAAUGUCUUCGGACCAAAGAUUUAUCGCCUUUGGAUGGGCCCGCGUUGGAUUAGCUAGUUGGUAGGGUAAAAGCCUACCAAGGCGACGAUCCAUAGCUGGUCUGAGAGGAUGAUCAGCCACACUGGGACUGAGACACGGCCCAGACUCCUACGGGAGGCAGCAGUGGAGGAUAUUGGACAAUGGGCGAAAGCCUGAUCCAGCAAUGCCGCGUGAGUGAUGAAGUCCUUAGAGUUGUAAAGCUCUUUUACCCGGGAUGAUAAUGACAGUACCGGGAGAAUAAGCCCCGGCUAACUCCGUG